rnacentral:rRNA from 1 species
AUACGUAGGGGGCGAGCGUUGUCCGGAAUGAUUGGGCGUAAAGGGCGCGUAGGCGGCGCGGUAAGUCUGGAGUGAAAGUCCUGCUUUCAAGGCGGGAAUUGCUUUGGAUACUGCCGCGCUUGAGUGCCGGAGAGGUUAUCGGAAUUCCCGGUGUAGCGGUGGAAUGCGUAGAGAUCGGGAGGAACACCAGUGGCGAACGCGGGUAACUGGACUGCAACUGACGCUGAGGCGCGAAAGUGUGGGGAGCAAACAGGAUUAGAUACCCUGGUAGUCCACACUGUAAACGAUGAAUGCUAGGUGUAAGAGGUAUCGACCCCUUUUGUGCCGGAGUCAACACAAUAAGCAUUCCGCCUGGGGAGUACGGCCGCAAGGUUGAAACUCAAAUGAAUUGGCGGGG